AUUGAACGCUGGCGGCAUGCCUUACACAUGCAAGUCGAACGGAUCAGAGGGGCUUGCUCCUUUGGUUAGUGGCGAACGGGAGAGUAAAGCAUCGGAACGUACCCAGUUGUGGGGGAUAACGUAGCGAAAGUUACGCUAAUACCGCAUACGCACUGAGGUGGAAAGCGGGGGACCGAAAGGCCUCGCGCAAUUGGAGCGGCCGAUGUCGGAUUAGCUAGUUGGUGAGGUAAAGGCUCACCAAGGCGACGAUCCGUAGCUGGUCUGAGAGGACGACCAGCCACACUGGAACUGAGACACGGUCCAGACUCCUACGGGAGGCAGCAGUGGGGAAUUUUGGACAAUGGGCGAAAGCCUGAUCCAGCCAUGCCGCGUGAGUGAAGAAGGCCUUCGGGUUGUAAAGCUCUUUCAGACGGAAAGAAAUCUUUCGGGUGAAUAUCCCGGAAGGAUGACGGUACCGUAAGAAGGAGCACCGGCUAACUACGUGCCAGCCGCCGCGGUAA
rnacentral:rRNA from 1 species